rnacentral:rRNA from 1 species
AUUGAACGCUGGCGGCAGGCCUAACACAUGCAAGUCGAACGAGUGGCGGACGGGUGAGUAAUGUCUGGGAAACUGCCUGAUGGAGGGGGAUAACUACUGGAAACGGUAUCUAAUACCGCAUACCCUCAGAUGUGCCCAGAUGGGUUUAGCUUGUUGGUGGGGUAACGGCUCACCAAGGCGACGAUCCCUAGCUGGUCUGAGAGGAUGACAAGCACAACUGGAACGGAGACACGGUCCAGACUCCUACGUGAGGUAGCAGUGGGGAAUAUUGCACAAUGGGCGCAAGCCUGAUGCAGCCAUGCCGCGUGUAUGAAGAAGGCCUUCGGGUUGUAAAGUACUUUCAGCGUGGAGGCGUUACCCGCAGAAGAAACACCGGCGAACUCCGUGCGAGCAGCCGCGGUAAUAC